UACGGAGGGUGCGAGCGUUGUCCGGAAUCACUGGGCGUAAAGGGCGCGUAGGUGGCCUGUGGAAGUCUGCGGUGAAAGCCCGGCGCUCAACGCCGGGUCGGCCGUGGAUACUCUCGGGCUUGAGCUUACUAGAGGCAGAUGGAAUUCCGGGUGUAGCGGUGGAAUGCGUAGAGAUCCGGAAGAACACCGGUGGCGAAGGCGGCCUGCUGGGACAGUGCUGACGCUGAGGCGCGACAGCGUGGGGAGCAAACAGG
rnacentral:rRNA from 1 species